UUGUUACCCCAACAUCAUUUUCAUAACUACCAUCGUCCUUUUUUCAUCACCGGCCACACAUCUGUAUCAUUUAGUCAUUCAACAAACAUUGAGCUUAAACUCUGCAGGGCUCUGAGCUAAACUUGCGGACAUUGGCUCAGGAAAUCAUCUCAGAAUCUGAGAUCCUGGCAGCUUCUUUUCUGACACACCCCAAACUCAUGCUCAAGGCCCUUAUCGUGCAGCUCCACUCACCUGUGACCUGCAGCUAUGUCUUUGGCACUCACUGCAUCAUCUUUGUCAACUGUUCCUAUGAGAAAAUUGCCAGAGACAUUGUCAGGUAUGGUGAAAGGGCUUAGGUGUGGCCCCAGGAGGCUCAAGAAGCUACAGGAUACUCCAGAGGGGCCACUAUUGUGCCCCUCUCUUGCUUCUGACAACCCUGUUCAUCCAAUGAUGAACUGUGAUUUAUUAAGCAUGUUAUGGGAACUUUAAAAUACCUCAUUCAGCAGAAUGGAGGCAGAGGAUUAUAAUCCCCAUUUGACAGAUGGGACACUGAGGCUCAAGUCCUCAUGUUUCUUCAGUCUGGAAAGUGAAGAGAACUUGCACUGUUUGACAAGGGCCAGGUGAAAGAAACGGGAGAGAAGGAGAGAUUCCUGUAGACCUGGGUUGUCAGGGAAGAUCACUUGGAAAAGGUCAGUGGUUGAAUUGGGCCUUCAGGGAUCGAGAGGCUUUUUUUUUUUGGAAGCAAGAAUAGAGAGGCUUUUGACUGAUCAGCAGGAGUAGGUGGAAUCUUCCAGGUGGGCAAGAAAAUACAGAGAUAUUGGGGGAGGGGAGUUUGUUUUGGGAAGUGAUGUACAUGGCACAAUAAAAAUAGUUGGCAUUUAAUGAAGGCAUACAGUGCCACCUGGUGUACUGGGUAAGUCCUUGUGUACCUUGUAUUAGUUAAUACCCAGCAGUCCAGUCAUGUAGGGCCUUUUUGUUAUUUGUUGUUUUACAGGAGCCUUAAAGGAAACUAAGUGACUUGUCCAUAGUCAGACAGUUAGUAGGGGCAACCUUAGAAUUUGAGCCCAUGUCUAUGAGACUCUAAAGCUAUCUGGCCUAACUGAUCACUUGUUGACAGAUGGGGAACAUAAGCUGGAGAGUGACAGGCCAUGGGCCUGGAUAGGUGGGCUGCAGCAGGUUGCAGAGGGCCUCCAGUGAGGCUGGCCAGUUGGGUUUUAUAACGUGAGUUGAUUCUAAUCAUAGUCGCUCACAUGGCUUUGCUUUCUCUCCAAAGGCUGUACAUCCUUUUGAAAUCUCAGCCGUCUUUAGUCUCCCAGUAGAUCAAGGAGAUGUGUACUAUUUAAAGUGGCUUGAGGAAGGCAUGGAAGAGGGCUGAGUGGGUGAAGCUUUUUGUGCAUGCUGCUAGCUGCCUCCAGCCUUCAUCAGCUGCACUCUAGGGAAGAGGAGGCCUUCUUCUACCUCCCAGCAUCUCUGGAUUCCAUGUUCCUGUCAGUGCAGAGGAGCUAAAUGGCCUGUGGAGGCUGAAGGUCUGAGGCUCCUGAAGCUGGAAGAAAAGGCUGAGCCAGUCAGGCCAAGCAAGAACCCAGUGAAACUUGUCUCUGAGUGCUUCACGGUUAAGGGGGAUCAGGGAUAUGAGGGCACGAGGAUGGUUGUGUGGAGACUGAGGGCAAGAGGCAGUGAGGGUGAGAUUUGUCAUCUUCUGGAGUCACUAGGCCUACCUGAAGUGCCUAGGAUGUAAUUGAUCUGCUGCUGCUUAUGGGGAGGAGUGGCCCCAGUGACCUUGUUCACCUGGAAGGGUGUGGGAUGAAUGCCUCCUCCUAGGGGGACUGGCAAAUGCUUUAUCAAAAGGAUAAAUUGCUCAUGGUGCAAUUUCAUGGAUCAGCAGGAUUAUUUCUCCUUGCCAAAGAAGCUUUUGUUGCUUCUGAAUUCUGACAAUGUGGGACUAGGAAUGGGCUCCAUGAGCUUUUGUAUAAUUCAGGGAAUAUUAGGACUUUGGCACAGCCUCAUGGGUUGGGAGUAAGUCUUGGCUGUUCCCUGGCCUGAAUGACAGACAUCAGGUCAUUCUGGUGCUUUGUCAGUGAAGAUAUAGAUUCUGAGCCCACCAAACUAAGCUUUUCCCUUGAGCAGACAAGCAGCCCCAGGAAUCAGACCCGUGUCUUUCAGGUUUGCUUCACAGAGCCCCAGAGGUUGACAAAAGGUACCUUGGAGGCUCCCUGCAUGGGGAUUUUUUAAAAAGCUUUGUUAAAGGUUUGUAAACCACCCCUCUGAGCCAGUUUUCAUUUUAUAGAUUACUCAGGAAACUGAACUGCAUGGAGGCCCAGAAAGAGGGUGGUGCAACCUGGGCUGCUCAUCCUGUUUCAUGCUCUCUUGUACCUGCUCCAUGGGUUUGUGGUGGAAGAGGGCAGGGAAGGCAGUGGCCUGCUGAGCCCCAUGGACUAAGAAGAAGAGAGAUUUGCCCCAGAAACCCCUCUGAAUCUGUCAUCAGGUAACUCCAUUCUGUGGAGACCAUGGGCAGUUUGGGUGGGGGUCUACAGAUAGCUGUUAUAUCCUGGGUCUCUCCUUGAGGGGAGGGUGUGCAGGAGGGCUAAUGCCAGGCUGUAGUUCUGACAAUUACUGUACUUCUUGGAUCUUGGUGCUCCCAAAUAUCAAAUGGAAGAGGAUCUCUGAGAGUCCUUUGCAAAGAUCUUGUAGGGUCUUUAGGCUGAGGCCCUUGGAAAGUUCCAGAGGGUUCCAAUGGAGAUUUUGAGGGACUGCCUUAGAAGAACAAAGAGAAUGAUAAUGGUGAUGUCCCUUGCUUUUUACAACAGAUCAUGAUAUAUAUGCAAAUCUGUGUAAAGUAGACCCUACCUAAAUGUCCUGGGGACCCAAGACAUACUGCCUGUACUGCUUCCAGGAGAAAGUCCAAUUUCUAGGUCUGGUUUUUAUAACCUUGCUUCAGCUCACCUUUUCCGUCAUCACCCCCUGCAUCUCCUCUCCCACAUAGGGAAAUGGAUGGCUCCACUAUACUGUGUGGUGUUAUUCCUGUGUUCCUGCUGUCCCCUCUGCCCAGAAUGCCCUUCUGCAUGAAUGCUUGUGAAAUGUUGCUGCUCCUUUGUAUGGCCUGGCUUCCGUGAUUGGGAGGAAUCUUUUCUGUCGUGGUAUUCUGUCAUCUUUGUGCAUCACAGUCAGCUUUAUAUUCCUAGGUUGUAAGCUGCUUGAGGAUAGGGGCAUGUCUGAAUCUAUUUAAUCUCUUGCACCUGUUUGGCAAGUGGAUAUCUUAAGUAUUCAAUUAACUAAAGCUCUCUCUAUAGCACAUAGUCACUUUUGAUUUAUGGAAUUAGGAAAUUCAGCUUUUUUCCUUGAAUAUUCUUAAAGCAAGACUAAUUCCAAAGGAGAUUUUUCUGUCUGUGGCCUUGAUUGGGUGGUUUUCUGUUAUCAGAAAACUCCUGGUGGCCUUCCUCUUCCCUGGUGUCAAGUUGACUGUUGUAGGAAAUGGGAGGGGAGAGGGCCAUUUCUGCCAGGCAUUGUCCUCGGUUCCUUAACAUUAAUCCUUAUAAUGCAUUGCUAUCCUCAUUUUACAGAUGAAACCUGAAAUCAGAGAGCAUGAAACACGUAAAGUAUGUGGCAGAGCUAGGAUGUGAACCCAACUCUGAUUCUAAACCUAAUGCUCUUACUUUCUCAGAGGUUCACUGAGUUCUUUGUAGGCCAUAGAUCCAGAGAAGCUGCUGCAGCCAACAGUAAAGUUAUUAGUUCUUAAAACAUCUAUGUGGUAAGUUGGUCUGGCACUUAAAAAUGUAUUGUUUACAGUCUGGGCGCGGUGGCUCACGCCUAUAAUCCCGGCACUUUGGGAGGCCGAGGUGGGUGGAUCAUGAGGUCAAGAGAUAGAGACCAUCCUCGUCAACAAAGUGAAACCCCAUCUCUACUAAAAAUACAAAAAUUAGCUGGGCAUGGUGGUGUGCGCCUGUAGUCCCAGCUACUCUGGAGGCUGAGGCAGAAGAAUUGCUUGAACCCAGAAGGCGGAGGUUAAGGUGAGCUGAGAUCGUGCCAUUGCACUCCAGUCUGGGUAACAACAGCGAAACUCCGUCUCAAAAAAAAAAAAAAAAAAAAGUAUUGUUUAUUACUCACGACAGAUCUUCAGUUCACCGAUCUCUAUGGUCUGCCUUUAACUCCAACUUAUGUAGUUUGGCCACUAUUACAUACUAUCAUUCCCAGAAUGAUGCUGCAGAGGCUAGGGCUAGGACCCAGACCAGUGUUUCCAUGUGGGAAUUCCCUCCCAGUAUUUCUUAGGAAAUGUAUGUUUUUUGAAUCCAUAAUCCCUAGAAAAAUCAGUUGAGGAAAUGAGAAGUAUUAUAGUUAUUCUGUGAAUACUAACACCAUUAUAGAGACAUUACUGGUUUGAAAGAAUCCAGCUUCAUCAAAUAUAACAUACUGAGUUGAAGGCUACAAGAACAGAGACGGGAGCAAGCCGAGGGAAAUGAUCAGCAUCUAAUUAGCCUUACUUUUGGUUGCUGUGAUGUCACUAAGUGUGUAUGUCUGGCCCUAUUGGCUGCUAAUGGUGAGUUCUUCUUGCAAAUAAAAUGAUUUGAUAAACAACCUAGCAUACUUGAUAUAAAUCUUAUGAAUGGUGUUCCGAGAAAUAAACUUCGGAAGCAAAAUAA